rnacentral:rRNA from 1 species
UACAGAGGUCUCAAGCGUUGUUCGGAUUCAUUGGGCGUAAAGGGUGCGUAGGCGGCGCGGUAAGUCGGGUGUGAAAUCUCGGAGCUUAACUCCGAAACUGCAUUCGAUACUGCCGUGCUUUGAGGACUGGAGAGGAGACUGGAAUUUACGGUGUAGCGGUGAAAUGCGUAGAUAAUCGUAAGGAAGACCAGUGGCGAAGGCGGGUCUCUGGACAGUUCCUGACGCUGAGGCACGAAGGUCAGGGGAGCAAACGGG